rnacentral:lncRNA from 10 species
CUGUGUUUCAAGGGGAGACAGGGAGCAAGCCAAGGAAUAAAUGAAAAGACCCAGUGACAAAAUGCCCAUUCAUCGGGUUCACUCGGCAAACAUUUACUGAAGCAUCUGUGUGCCAGGCACUGUCCUGAGUGCUGGGAAGACACAAAGAUGCCCUUCAGAACGAUGACCCCCGCCUCGCCCUCCGCUGGAACCGGGAGGCAGACACACACAUAAAUACGACACAGUCAACCGUCCCCAGUUCACAGCAUCUAAAGGAGCUAGGAAUGCAUGGGAUGCUUAUGGAAUGUGCGAGAACACGGGUGAGUCUCACAAAAAGAAUGUACACGGAGUACAUACUGUCGGAUUCCAUUUCUAUCAACUCCUGAAGCCUGCAGAGCUAACACCUACUGCUGGAGGGCAAGGCAGUAGCUGCUUGUUGGGGUAGGAGAUGAGGAGAACACCAAGUGGGCUUCUGGAAUGCUGGACACCCGUGAGACAAAGUCUCACUGUGUUCCCAGGCUGAUCCCCAACUCCUGAGCUCAAGCCAGCCACCAGCCUUGGCCUCCCAAAGUGCUGGGAUUACAGGCGUGAGCCACCACGCCGGGCCCAGAUGAACAGACUUCAUGGCUGAGACAGAGCUGAGAGCAGAGAAAACAGACUCAUAAAAUCCUGGCAGAAUCUUUCCAUUCUAAUAGGUAGGUUGGGGUGUGGUGGCUCAUGCCUGUAAUCCUAGCCCUUUGGGAGGCUGAGGCAGGAGGACCACCUGAGCUCAGGAGUUCAAGACCAGCCUGGGCAACAUAGUGAGACCCUGUCUCUACGAAAAAUAAUAAUAAAAAACAAUUGGCCAGGCAUCAUGGCAUGCACCUGUAGUCCCAGCUGUUCAGAAGGCUGAGGUGGGAGGAUCACUUGAGGCCAGCAGGUUGAGGCUGCAGUGAGCUGAGAUGGCGUCACUGUGGGCAACAGUGGGAGACCCUAUCUCAAAAAGCAAACAAACAAACUCUAAUCGCCGUUAAAGUUAAAUGAUCUACAAUCUGGCUUUAUGCUAGGGUAAACUGUCUUCUCACAGCUGGAAAUGAAAAUUCCCUAUAGUAGUUGGAGGGCUCCCGACCCCCAGCCUCCCAACCUACCACACUCCAACUUUGUCUGUGCCCUGCCACGAACACUUUUCUAGAAGAGACCCCUUCUGCCACCCCACGUUUGCCACAGUGGGCUCCUCAAAGUGCUCAUCCAGGAGACUGAAGAUUCUAAGUUUCCAACCCAGAGACUGGAGCCAACAGAAUCCCUUUUCCAGGACUUAGCAUUUGGGACUCACAGAGAUUUCCUCUCCCUCAUUGGGCGACUGGGCUAUAACAGUGGGCUUCAAAGUGAAGCUAGUAGACUGGGGACAUGAAGACGUUGGAGGGGUGCAGAGUCAUGAAUAGCUGUCAAGGAUUGGUUUCCAGAUCUAAAAUUGACACCUAUAGUCUUUCCUAUACAGACAUGCUCUACUGGCGAGUGUUCUGGUUCUGAGAGCUUGUCUUUCUUUAUCAACUGCCCUUUCAAGCUCAAGCUUCCCCUAUUGCACAGAAGAAAUGCAAGCCUCUUCCCUUCUGGAAUCGCACCAUGGGCAGUACUCCAGAGAGUGGAAACUCUCUGACACCAAACAAGGGACAAUUCAAGAAUAAAUGGCACCUGAGUCCCAGGAGGGCAAAGCAGAGUGAGAAAAGAAUUAGUGAGUGAUGUGGAAAGGACAACAUCCUUUCAUCCCAGAGUCAAAGCCCCGGCAAGCCUCCAGGCCUCAGCGCUCCCUCUGUCUUACAGCACAAAAACACCUUUUGUGGAUGGGAAAGGACUCAGGACGUGAUCAGACUGGCCUGCUGAGAGUAUCAUAGGGAAGUGCUGGAUGGGUUCAUGGAAAGAAGUAUACACAGAUGAGGAACAGCAGAAAGGCAUG